rnacentral:rRNA from 1 species
UACGUAGGGGGCGAGCGUUGUCCGGAUUUAUUGGGCGUAAAGAGCGUGUAGGCGGCCAAGUAGGUCUGCUGUGAAAACUCGAGGCUCAACCUCGAGACGUCGGCGGAAACCAUCUGGCUAGAGUCCGGAAGAGGAGAGUGGAAUUCCUGGUGUAGCGGUGAAAUGCGCAGAUAUCAGGAAGAACACCCGUGGCGAAGGCGGCUCUCUGGGACGGUACUGACGCUGAGACGCGAAAGCGUGGGGAGCGAACAGG